rnacentral:tRNA from 1 species
GGAGAGGUCGCAUAGUUUGGCCUAGUGCACGAUCUUGGAAAGAUCGCAUACCCGCAAGGGUAUCGUGGGUUCAAAUCCCACCCUCUCCG